UGCUCAGUAGUUCAGCGGGUAGAAUAGGACACUGUUAAUGUCAAGGUCGCUGGUUCGAGUCCAGCCUGAGCAG
rnacentral:tRNA from 1 species